rnacentral:lncRNA from 1 species
UCUGAAAAUUAGUCACACAACAAACUGCAGAUCAGAAUUUUCGCUUUGUAGCCAUGUUGAAUAUAUUGGAGGUUUUCAUGACUGUAAUAGGUAGGGGAUUUAUAAAAGGAAUGUAGGAAAUUAAUUCAUUGGACUCACAGAUUGCAUUGCCUGGAUGAGAAAUCAGAAGUUAUGCAUGGUUGGCUUCAUUCUUACUAGUUUGGCCUUAGCCAGAAUCAAUAUUCUUCUAUUAGAAAAUCCCUGAUGCUAGGGAAAGAAACCAUAUCCUUACCAUUGUCCGGAGACUGGCCAACCACUUGUGCACUUGAUUUGCUACUUGUCUUGCUGUCUUUUAUUUCCUAAAGAUCGUCAAUUUCUCCUAUCUCUUUUACUUUUGGCUAAAAUGGAGAAUUAACAAGGUAGCUUUCAUACUUCCACUGGUAUCUGCCUUUUCUGUUUACCAACUUUCCUUUGACGUACACUUUUGAUGUCUUCUGGUAUCGUGUCCAAAAAAAUAUGAAAGACAUAUGACUGGAUUACUCAAUGUAAGUAAUAAUAAAAAUGUUAAUAAUAUAAUAAUCUUCUUUAUUGGAUCUCUCUCUUCUUUCUCUAUUUCUUCGAUUUUCUUUUUGUUGUUACUCCUUUCUUCGUGAAGACACAUGAAACACAUUAGGUUCAAUUUCAGGGAUUGCAGAACCCCAGUAUACGGGCCCAUUUCAGAGCCAAGAAAACGGUUUUCCUUUUUUGUCUUGUUGCUCUAUAAAAAUUUGCCCUUUUCUUGACAUUUACAGGGGUAUUUUUUGCUACAGAACAAACUGGUUGUGAUAUCUGGUUUAUGAUAUGAAGUCAGUAUUCUUUGGGUCACUCAUAUGUUGUGAUUUUUGGAUACGGCCAAAUGAAGAAAACUUUCUUGGGGAUUCUCUGGCACCUGAAAUGUGGCCUGAAAGGACGGGCACUCUUAGCU